AGUGAACGCUGGCGGUAGGCCUAACACAUGCAAGUCGAACGGCAGCACAGUAAGAGCUUGCUCUUACGGGUGGCGAGUAGCGGACGGGUGAGGAAUACAUCGUAAUCUACUUUUUCGUGGGGGAUCACGUAGGGAAACUUACGCUAAUACCGCAUACGACCUACAGGUGAAAGCCGGGGAUCUUCGUACCUUGCGCGAUUGAAUGAGCCGAUGUCGGAUUAGCUAGUUGGCGGGGUAAGGGCCCACCAAGGCGACGAUCCGUAGCUGGCCUGAGAGGAUGGAGAGCCAGGAUGGAGAGGAGGCACGGCCAAGACUCCUAUGGGAGGCAGCAGUGGGGAAUACUGGAGGAUGGGGGGAAGAAUGAUGCAGCAAGACCGCGUGGGUGAAGAAGGCAUUCGGGUUGUAAAACCCCUGUGUUGGGAAAGAAAAGCUGUUGGUUAAGAGCCGGAUGCUGUGACGGUACCUAAAGAAUAAGCACCGGCUAACUUCGUG
rnacentral:rRNA from 1 species